rnacentral:siRNA from 1 species
GGCGGUACUGACGUGUGCCUC